rnacentral:lncRNA from 1 species
UUUUGUAAAUAUUUUAAUAAAUAAGUAAAACACCUACAAACAUUCCAUUAACAAACCAUUAUUUGUGAACUAUAGGAGAUUCUCGUUGAGUACAACGAAAGUGAGGGGUGCUAAUAUAUUUCCCUUGCAUAACCGACUCUCAAAUCCAUAUUUGGUUGCGGUGACCAUCUUAUCCUUUUACCUUAGGAUUUUAUCGUUAUUUUCCCUUUUCUUAGGAUUAAAUAAAAUUUGGUGGCGACUCUUUUAGUCAUCCACGAGCCUGCGAUGCACUCACGAGAUCAUAUUUUUUGAGAUGCGACAUAGUGGUUCACAAAGAAGUUUUCUUCUUUUUUCUCUUUCUAUUUUUUUUCUUUCUUUUU